rnacentral:rRNA from 1 species
CCUACGGGAGGCAGCAGUGGGGAAUAUUGGGCAAUGGGCGCAAGCCUGACCCAGCAACGCCGCGUGAAGGAAGACGGCUUUCUGGUUGUAAACUUCUUUUUUCAGGGACGAAGCCCGUGACGGUUCCUUUCGACUAAGCCACGGCUAACUACGUGCCAGCAGCCGCGGUAAUACGUAGGUGGCAAGCGUUAUCCGGAUUUACUGGGUGUAAAGGGCGUGUAGGCGGGACUGCAAGUCAGAUGUGAAAACCACGGGCUCAACCUGUGGCCUGCAUUUGAAACUGUAGUUCUUGAGUGCUGGAGAGGCAGACGGAAUUCCUGGUGUAGCGGUGAAAUGCGUAGAUAUUAGAAGGAACACCAGUGGCGAAGGCAGUCUGCUAAACAGCAACUGACGCUGAGGCGCGAAAGCGUGGGGAGCAAACAGGAUUAGAUACCCGAGUAGUC